AAAGGAAUAGACGGGGGCCCGCACAAGCAGCGGAGCAUGUGGUUUAAUUCGAAGCAACGCGAAGAACCUUACCAGGGCUUGACAUCUCCUGCCAACUGUAGAAAUACAGCCUUCCCUUUUGGGACAGGAAGACAGGUGGUGCAUGGUUGUCGUCAGCUCGUGUCGUGAGAUGUUGGGUUAAGUCCCGCAACGAGCGCAACCCCUAUCUUUAGUUGCUAGCAGGUCAAGCUGAGCACUCUAAAGAGACUGCCGGUGACAAACCGGAGGAAGGUGGGGAUGACGUCAAAUCAUCAUGCCCCUUAUGCCCUGGGCGACACACGUGCUACAAUGGCCUGAACAGAGGGAAGCAAGACCGUAAGGUGGAGCGAAUCCCAUAAAACAGGUCCCAGUUCGGAUUGUGGGCUGCAACUCGCCCACAUGAAGCCGGAGUUGCUAGUAAUCGCGGAUCAGCAUGUCGCGGUGAAUGCGUUCCCGGGCCUUGUACACACCGCCCGU
rnacentral:rRNA from 1 species